rnacentral:rRNA from 1 species
AUUCUGGCUCAGGAUGAACGCUGGCGGCGUGCCUAAUACAUGCAAGUCGAACGAAACUUCUUUAUCACCGAGUGCUUGCACUCACCGAUAAAGAGUUGAGUGGCGAACGGGUGAGUAACACGUGGGCAACCUGCCCAAAAGAGGGGGAUAACACUUGGAAACAGGUGCUAAUACCGCAUAACCAUAGUUACCGCAUGGUAACUAUGUAAAAGGUGGCUAUGCUACCGCUUUUGGAUGGGCCCGCGGCGCAUUAGCUAGUUGGUGGGGUAAAGGCUCACCAAGGCAAUGAUGCGUAGCCGAACUGAGAGGUUGAUCGGCCACAUUGGGACUGAGACACGGCCCAAACUCCUACGGGAGGCAGCAGUAGGGAAUCUUCCACAAUGGGCGAAAGCCUGAUGGAGCAACGCCGCGUGGGUGAAGAAGGUCUUCGGAUCGUAAAACCCUGUUGUUAGAGAAGAAAGUGCGUGAGAGUAACUGUUCACGUUUCGACGGUAUCUAACCAGAAAGCCACGGCUAACUACGUGCCAGCAGCCGCGGUAAUACGUAGGUGGCAAGCGUUAUCGGAUUUAUUGGGCGUAAAGGGAACGCAGGCGGUCUUUUAAGUCUGAUGUGAAAGCCUUCGGCUUAACCGGAGUAGUGCAUUGGAAACUGGGAGACUUGAGUGCAGAAGAGGAGAGUGGAACUCCAUGUGUAGCGGUGAAAUGCGUAGAUAUAUGGAAGAACACCAGUGGCGAAAGCGGCUCUCUGGUCUGUAACUGACGCUGAGGUUCGAAAGCGUGGGUAGCAAACAGGAUUAGAUACCCUGGUAGUCCACGCCGUAAACGAUGAAUGCUAAGUGUUGGAGGGUUUCCGCCCUUCAGUGCUGCAGCUAACGCAAUAAGCAUUCCGCAUGGGGAGCACGACCGCAAGGUUGCAACUCAAAGGAAUUGACGGA